AGUGAACGCUGGCGGUAGGCCUAACACAUGCGAGUCGAACGGCAGCACAGUAAGAGCUUGCUCUUACGGGUGGCGAGUGGCGGACGGGUGAGGAAUACAUCGGAAUCUACUUUUUCGUGGGGGAUAACGUAGGGAAACCUACGCUAAUACCGCAUACGACCUACGGGUGAAAGCAGGGGAUCUUCGGACCUUGCGCGAUUGAAUGAGCCGAUGUCGGAUUAGCUAGUUGGCGGGGUAAAGGCCCACCAAGGCGACGAUCCGUAGCUGGUCUGAGAGGAUGAUCAGCCACACUGGAACUGAGACACGGUCCAGACUCCUACGGGAGGCAGCAGUGGGGAAUAUUGGACAAUGGGCGCAAGCCUGAUCCAGCCAUACCGCGUGGGUGAAGAAGGCCUUCGGGUUGUAAAGCCCUUUUGUUGGGAAAGAAAAGCAGCAGGUUAAUACCCCGCUGUUCUGACGGUACCCAAAGAAUAAGCACCGGCUAACUUCGUG
rnacentral:rRNA from 1 species